AACGAACGCUGGCGGCAUGCCUAACACAUGCAAGUCGAACGAGACCUUCGGGUCUAGUGGCGCACGGGUGCGUAACGCGUGGGAACCUGCCCUUAGGUUCGGAAUAACUCCCCGAAAGGGGUGCUAAUACCGGAUAAUGUCUUCGGACCAAAGAUUUAUCGCCUUUGGAUUGGCCCGCGUUGGAUUAGCUAGUUGGUAGGGUAAAAGCAUACCAAGGCGACGAUCCAUAGCUGGUCUGAGAGGAUGAUCAGCCACACUGGGACUGAGACACGGCCCAGACUCCUACGGGAGGCAGCAGUGGGGAAUAUUGGACAAUGGGCGAAGGCCUGAUCCAGCAAUGCCGCGUGAGUGAUGAAGGCCUUAGGGUUGUAAAGCUCUUUUACCCGGGAUGAUAAUGACAGUACCGGGAGAAUAAGCUCCGGCUAACUCCGUG
rnacentral:rRNA from 1 species